rnacentral:rRNA from 1 species
UAACACGUGGGGAACCUGCCCCAUAGUCUGGGAUACCACUUGGAAACAGGUGCUAAUACCGGAUAAGAAAGCGGAUCGCAUGAUCNGCUUUUAAAAGGCGGCGUAAGCUGUCGCUAUGGGAUGGCCCCGCGGUGCAUUAGCUAGUUGGUAAGGUAAAGGCUUACCAAGGCGAUGAUGCAUAGCCGAGUUGAGAGACUGAUCGGCCACAUUGGGACUGAGACACGGCCCAAACUCCUACGGGAGGCAGCAGUA